AGAGUUUGAUCCUGGCUCAGGAUGAACGUUGGCGGCGUGCCUGAGAUAUGCAAGUCGAACGACCCCGACAAAUUCCGCAAGGAAUUUCGUCGGGGAGUGGCGGACGGCUGAGUAACACGUAGGAAUCUACCCCUGUCUGGACCAUAGCCCGCCGAAAGGCGGGGUAAUUGUCCAUAGUCUCCGACGUUACGUCGGAGUAAAGAAAGUAACUUUUCGGACAGGGAUGAGCCUGCGGCCUAUCACGGUAGUUGGUAGGGUAAUGGCCUACCAAGCCUAUGACGGGUAGCUGGCCUGAGAGGGUGGUCAGCCAGAGGGGGACUGAGACACGGCCCCCACUCCUACGGGAGGCAGCAAUCAGGAAUAGUCGGCAAUGGGCGAAAGCCUGACCGCGCGACGCCGCGUGCGGGAAGAAGGUCGCAAGACUGUAAACCGCUGUGGUAGGGGAGGAAGCCCCGAUGUUACAUCGGGGUUGACAGUACCCUACUAGAAAGGGGCCGCUAACUGCGUGCCAGAAGCGUCGGUAAUACGUGGGCCCCAAACGUUAUCCGGUUUUACUGGGCGUAAAGGGUCGUGUAGGCGUUCUAUCAAGUUUUAUCUCAAAUCCUAUGGCUCAACCAUAGAAAGGGAUAAAAGACUGAUAGGAUAGAGUUAUCUUUAGGGGAAUCGGAACUCAAGGAGGAGUAGUGAAAUGCGUUGAUACCUUGGGGAACACCAGUGGCGAAGGCGGAUUCCUGAAAGAUAACUGACGCUGAGACACGAAAGCUAGGGGAGCGAAGCAGAUUAGAGACCUGCGUAGUCCUAGCCGUAAACGAAUGUCUGCUAGCCGCAUUCUGACGAUUUAUUCGAAAGAGUGUAGCGAAGGUAACCCGUUAAGCAGACCGCCUGGGGAGUACGACCGCGAGGUUAAAACUCAAAGGAAUUGGCGGGGAGGCACACAACUAGUGGAACAUGUGGUUCAAUUCGAUACAAACCGAAGAACCUCACCAAGGCUUGACAUGCUAUCGUGUAGCCCCGAUGAAAAUUGGGGUGAUCCGCAAGGAUGAUAGCACAGGUGCUGCAUGGCUGUCGUCAGCUCGUUCCGUGAGGAGUACCCUUAAGUGGGACAACGAGCGCAACCCUCAUCCUGUGUUAAAUCUGUCACAGGAGACUGCCCCGACGUUACGUCGGGGAGGAAGGAGAGGCAGACGUCAAGUCAGCAUGGUCCUUAUGCCUUGGGCUACACACAUGUUACAAUGAGAUGGACAGCGGGCUUUGCCACACCGCAAGGUGGAGCAAAUCCCACAAAUCAUCUCUCAGUGGGGAUUGAGGUCUGCAACCCGACCUCAUGAACGCGGAAUUAGUAGUAAUCGCGGAUCAGUCAUGCCGCGGUGAAUACGUUCUUGCCUCUUGCACACACCGCCCGUCAAGCCAACAAAGUCGAUGAUAUUUGAACCCCGAUGUCCAUCGGGGCAGAAUAUCGUCGGCGAUGGGGGUUAAGUCGUAACAAGGUAACC
rnacentral:rRNA from 1 species